UACGUAGGUGGCAAGCGUUGUCCGGAUUUAUUGGGUUUAAAGGGUGCGUAGGCGGCCCUGUAAGUCAGUGGUGAAAUACUCUAGCUUAACUAGAGGGGUGCCAAUGAUACUGCAGGGCUUGAGUACAGAAGAGGUAGGCGGAAUUGACGGUGUAGCGGUGAAAUGCAUAGAUAUCGUCAAGAACACCGAUGGCGAAGGCAGCUUACUGGGCUGUAACUGACGCUGAUGCACGAAAGUGUGGGGAGCAAACAGG
rnacentral:rRNA from 1 species